CAUGAGUUUACUUCUCCAUUCUUACUUUGACCGCUCUGACUUGUUCUCAGCUCCAAUACAAUUACAAACGGGUUGAAAAUAAACGAAAGAGAAAGAAAGAGGGAGCCCUGGAAGAAAGCAGCGUGGAAAGCUUUUGGAAAGUGACAAAGGGAUAGCAGCACUAGAGAAGAGCAGCAGGAGUAUCAGUGAGGUUGUUGUGAGGUGAGGUGAUGCACUGACAGACAGACAGACAGACAGAUGCAUAUACCUAUUCCCCUUCCUCUCCUCUUCCCCCUUGCCUUGCGUUUCCUCUCUUCUCUUCCAAUUUAAAUCCCACGAGAAGCAAGGAGAAAGAAAGAAAGAAGAGGAGGUGACUGAGUGUGUUUCUUUCUCCAUUGCGCUUCCCUUCUCCUUCCCUUGGCUUGGCCUCCAAUGUUUUCUUACAUCCCCCUCCACUCCAUCUCUUGCUUCCCAAACCUGGCUUAACCUCUCCUCCUUCACUUGCCUUGGCCAUUAACCACGCCCCAAAUCCAACCUUCAAAGCUUUCCUCCUCCCCCUGCUGCCGUCUUGGUGAUAACUAACCUCCGCAAGUCAGACCACUGAAACCUCGAAGCCAUCUUCAUUCAGUUGAUCUCUUCUUGAUUUCUCCCUGCUCUGCUCUGCUCUUCUCUUCUCUAGGGCCCAUGGGUGAACACCUCGCGCUGCUGGUGGACCGGCUGCUCACGGAGUCCACGCUGGAGGCGGCCAUCGUGAGCAGGAAGCAGCCGGCCGCGGACGACACGCCGGCGGCGAUCGUCUACUGCUGUGACAUCGCCGCCGCUGGCGGCGACCCGAGCAAGAUGGUGGAGUGCAGGAUCUGCCAGGAGGAGGACUGGGACACCGGCAUGGAGGCCCCCUGCGCCUGCCGCGGCAGCCUCAAGUAUGCCCAUCGAAAAUGCAUCCAGCGUUGGUGCAAUGAGAAGGGUGACACCGUCUGCGAAAUAUGCUUGCAGCAAUUCAGGCCAGGCUACACUGCCCCACAGCAGCUGUUCCACUACGGAAGCAUACCAAUGAACUUCAGGGGGAACUGGCAGGUCGCGCGGCACGAUCUCCACGACUCUCAGGUCAUAACAAUGGUGCCCUCGGAGCGCGAUUUCAUGGACGAGUACGACGACUACUUUCCAGUCAGGACGAGGAGCAGCGCCCUGUGUUGCCGGACAGUCGCCAUCAUUUUCCUGGCCCUCCUGGUUCUCCGGCACACGCUUCCUCUCAUGGUCGGCGGCGACGGGGAGUACUCGUUUGCUCUGUUUUUGCCUCUGAUCUUGAAUUUUACCAUUUUAUGGGGACGAAAAAAAAACAGCUUCUUGUGCUGAGGACAGCUGGGAUUCUGUUCCCAAUAUUGGUGAUGGUGAGAGCAAUGGCAACCUUCCAUCGUCGUCGUCGCCAACAGAGUUCUGCGUAUACUCUUUUCUGAUGCGUAACUCUGGGGUCUAGAUCACUUGAUACUGCAGGGAAACCAGGGAACUUACAUGUUCUUCUCGGACACCGAGGACGAGGACGAUGACGAAGAGGAAGAAGAGGAUGCCGACGCCGAUCCUGGGCUGCCUCACUACCAACCACGCCUUAUCCCCGUCUACUGACACCAUACAAAUCGGUGCGGCGUCGGUGUGGUUAACAGAAGCAAAAAUCCCAAGAAACAGGGAAAAAGAUACUGAUGUGGUAGGAUAGUCUGAAGCCACUCGCUUCUGUGUGCACAAGAAAUAGGAGAUUGUAGUGGCUCUGUACAUACCACAAGACUGACCCAGACGAUGUAACUUGUGAGCUUCUCUAGCUCUCCCAUGUACUCGAGAGAUUGCCUAAAAUUACUUGCAAAAUGCAUGGAAUUACAGGCCUGUAUCUGAACCUGUGAUCCUGCAACUCAUGCUUGAUCUACAGUUCUUUGAUUUGUCUUACUGACAUGUGCAUGGACUAUUGAUCAGUUUUCUGAGCAUACAAAUUUCUGUACAUCUGUUUGCAACAUUUGCUUGAU